UACGAAGGGGGCUAGCGUUGCUCGGAAUUACAGGGCGUAAAGCGCACGUAGGCGGCUCUUUAAGUCGGGGGUGAAAUCCUGGAGCUCAACUCCAGAACUGCCUUCGAUACUGAAGAGCUCGAGUCCGGGAGAGGUGAGUGGAACUGCGAGUGUAGAGGUGAAAUUCGUAGAUAUUCGCAAGAACACCCAGUGGCGAAGGCGGCUCACUGGCCCGAUACUGACGCUGAGGCACGAAAGCGUGGGGAGCAAACAGG
rnacentral:rRNA from 1 species